ACCACCGGGCUCGAGGAUCAGC
rnacentral:miRNA from 1 species